rnacentral:rRNA from 1 species
AGCGAACGUUUGCGGCGGGCCUAACACAUGCAAGUCGAACGCACUAGCAAUAGUGAGUGGCGCACGGGUGCGUAACACGUGGGUAAUCAACCCUUCAGCUUGGGAUAACGACUUGAAAGGGUCGCUAAUACCGGAUACGGCGCGGGAGGCUUCGGCUUCUCACGAGAAAGCCUCGCAAGGGGCACUGAAGGACGAGCCUGCGGCCCAUCAGCUAGUUGGUGAGGUAAGAGCUCACCAAGGCGAAGACGGGUAGCUGGUCUGAGAGGAUGAUCAGCCACACUGGAACUGAGACACGGUCCAGACUCCUACGGGAGGCAGCAGUGGGGAAUAUUGCGCAAUGGGCGAAAGCCUGAACCAGCCAUGCCGCGUGCAGGAAGACGGCCCUAUGGGUUGUAAACUGCUUUUGUCAGGGAAUAAACCUUUGUACGAGAUACAGAGCUGAAGGUACCUGAAGAAUAAGCAUCGGCUAACUCCGUGCCAGCAGCCGCGGUAAU